rnacentral:rRNA from 1 species
CCUACGGGGGGCAGCAGUCGAGAAUCAUUCACAAUGGGGGAAACCCUGAUGGUGCGACGCCGCGUGGGGGAAUGAAGGUCUUCGGAUUGUAAACCCCUGUCAUGUGGGAGCAAAUUAAAAAGAUAGUACCACAAGAGGAAGAGACGGCUAACUCUGUGCCAGCAGCCGCGGUAAUACAGAGGUCUCAAGCGUUGUUCGAAAUCACUGGGCGUAAAGCGUGCGUAGGCUGUUUCGUAAGUCGUGUGUGAAAGGCGCGGGCUCAACCCGCGGACGGCACAUGAUACUGCGAGACUAGAGUAAGGGAGGGGGAACCGGAAUUCUCGGUGUAGCAGUGAAAUGCGUAGAUAUCGAGAGGAACACUCGUGGCGAAGGCGGGUUCCUGGACAUUAACUGACGCUGAGGCACGAAGGCCAGGGGAGCGAAAGGGAUUAGAUACCCGAGUAGUC